GAUGAUCGGUGCUUGCACCGAGAUUCAACAUGGAACGAGUGGCGGACGGGUGAGUAACACGUGGGUAACCUGCCCUUAAGUGGGGGAUAACAUUUGGAAACAGAUGCUAAUACCGCAUAGAUCCAAGAACCGCAUGGUUCUUGGCUGAAAGAUGGCGUAAGCUAUCGCUUUUGGAUGGACCCGCGGCGUAUUAGCUAGUUGGUGAGGUAAUGGCUCACCAAGGCGAUGAUACGUAGCCGAACUGAGAGGUUGAUCGGCCACAUUGGGACUGAGACACGGCCCAAACUCCUACGGGAGGCAGCAGUAGGGAAUCUUCCACAAUGGACGCAAGUCUGAUGGAGCAACGCCGCGUGAGUGAAGAAGGCUUUCGGGUCGUAAAACUCUGUUGUUGGAGAAGAAUGGUCGGCAGAGUAACUGUUGUCGGCGUGACGGUAUCCAACCAGAAAGCCACGGCUAACUACGUGCCAGCAGCCGCGGUAAUACGUAGGUGGCAAGCGUUAUCCGGAUUUAUUGGGCGUAAAGCGAGCGCAGGCGGUUUUUUAAGUCUGAUGUGAAAGCCCUCGGCUUAACCGAGGAAGCGCAUCGGAAACUGGGAAACUUGAGUGCAGAAGAGGACAGUGGAACUCCAUGUGUAGCGGUGAAAUGCGUAGAUAUAUGGAAGAACACCAGUGGCGAAGGCGGCUGUCUGGUCUGUAACUGACGCUGAGGCUCGAAAGCAUGGGUAGCGAACAGGAUUAGAUACCCUGGUAGUCCAUGCCGUAAACGAUGAAUGCUAGGUGUUGGAGGGUUUCCGCCCUUCAGUGCCGCAGCUAACGCAUUAAGCAUUCCGCCUGGGGAGUACGACCGCAAGGUUGAAACUCAAAGGAAUUGACGGGGGCCCGCACAAGCGGUGGAGCAUGUGGUUUAAUUCGAAGCAACGCGAAGAACCUUACCAGGUCUUGACAUCUUUUGAUCACCUGAGAGAUCAGGUUUCCCCUUCGGGGGCAAAAUGACAGGUGGUGCAUGGUUGUCGUCAGCUCGUGUCGUGAGAUGUUGGGUUAAGUCCCGCAACGAGCGCAACCCUUAUGACUAGUUGCCAGCAUUUAGUUGGGCACUCUAGUAAGACUGCCGGUGACAAACCGGAGGAAGGUGGGGAUGACGUCAAAUCAUCAUGCCCCUUAUGACCUGGGCUACACACGUGCUACAAUGGAUGGUACAACGAGUUGCGAGACCGCGAGGUCAAGCUAAUCUCUUAAAGCCAUUCUCAGUUCGGACUGUAGG
rnacentral:rRNA from 1 species